rnacentral:rRNA from 1 species
AGACUAAGCCAUGCAUGUCUAAGUAUAAGUGUUAUACAGCGAAACUGCGAAUGGCUCAUUAAAACAGUUAUAGUUUAUUUGAUAAUCGAAUUUACAUGGAUAACCGUGGUAAUUCUAGAGCUAAUACAUGCUGGUAUGCCCGACUUUUGCGGAAGGGCGGUAUUUAUUAGAUAACAAGCCAAUAUUCCUCUGGUCUAUUGUGGUGACUCAUAAUAACUGAUCGAAUCGCAAGGCCUUUGGCCGCGAUAAAUCAUUCAAGUUUCUGCCCCAUCAGCUUUCGAUGGUAGUGUAUUGGACUACCAUGGCGUUUACGGGUAACGGAGGAUUAGGGUUCGAUUCCGGAGAGGGAGCCUGAGAAACGGCUACCACAUCUAAGGAAGGCAGCAGGCGCGUAAAUUACCCAAUCCUGACUCAGGGAGGUAGUGACAAGAAAUAACGGACCGGUUCCUUCGGGUUCGGGAUUGCAAUGAGCCGAAUUUACACCCCUUAGCGAGGAUCGAUUGGAGGGCAAGUCUGGU